rnacentral:rRNA from 1 species
AUGCACGCUGGCGGCGUGCCUAAUACAUGCCAGUCGAGCGAACAGACGAGGAGCUUGCUCCUCUGACGUUAGCGGCGGACGGGUGAGUAACACGUGGAUAACCUACCUAUAAGACUGGGAUAACUUCGGGAAACCGGAGCUAAUACCGGAUAAUAUAUUGAACCGCAUGGUUCAAUAGUGAAAGACGGUUUUGCUGUCACUUAUAGAUGGAUCCGCGCCGCAUUAGCUAGUUGGUAAGGUAACGGCUUACCAAGGCAACGAUGCGUAGCCGACCUGAGAGGGUGAUCGGCCACACUGGAACUGAGACACGGUCCAGACUCCUACGGGAGGCAGCAGUAGGGAAUCUUCCGCAAUGGGCGAAAGCCUGACGGAGCAACGCCGCGUGAGUGAUGAAGGUCUUCGGAUCGUAAAACUCUGUUAUUAGGGAAGAACAAAUGUGUAAGUAACUACGCACGUCUUGACGGUACCUAAUCAGAAAGCCACGGCUAACUACGUG